UCCGCAGUAGCUCAGUGGUAGAGCAAUCGGCUGUUAACCGAUCGGUCGCAGGUNCCAGCGCCCCUGCGAGA
rnacentral:tRNA from 1 species